rnacentral:rRNA from 1 species
AUUGAACGCUGGCGGCAGGCCUAACACAUGCAAGUCGAGCGGUUGAGGGGAGCUUGCUCCCUGAUUCAGCGGCGGACGGGUGAGUAAUGCCUAGGAAUCUGCCUAUUAGUGGGGGACAACGUUUCGAAAGGAACGCUAAUACCGCAUACGUCCUACGGGAGAAAGCAGGGGACCUUCGGGCCUUGCGCUAAUAGAUGAGCCUAGGUCGGAUUAGCUAGUUGGUGAGGUAAUGGCUCACCAAGGCGACGAUCCGUAACUGGUCUGAGAGGAUGAUCAGUCACACUGGAACUGAGACACGGUCCAGACUCCUACGGGAGGCAGCAGUGGGGAAUAUUGGACAAUGGGCGAAAGCCUGAUCCAGCCAUGCCGCGUGUGUGAAGAAGGUCUUCGGAUUGUAAAGCACUUUAAGUUGGGAGGAAGGGUUGUAGAUUAAUACUCUGCAAUUUUGACGUUACCGACAGAAUAAGCACCGGCUAACUCUGUGCCAGCCGCCGCCGCGG